rnacentral:rRNA from 1 species
UAGAGUUUGAUCAUGGCUCAGAACGAACGCUGGCGGCAUGCCUUACACAUGCAAGUCGAACGGCAGCACGGGAGCUUGCUCCUGGUGGCGAGUGGCGAACGGGUGAGUAAUACAUCGGAACGUACCCAGGAGUGGGGGAUAACGUAGCGAAAGUUACGCUAAUACCGCAUAUUCUGUGAGCAGGAAAGCGGGGGAUCGCAAGACCUCGCGCUCUUGGAGCGGCCGAUGUCGGAUUAGCUAGUUGGUGAGGUAAAAGCUCACCAAGGCGACGAUCCGUAGCAGGUCUGAGAGGAUGAUCUGCCACACUGGGACUGAGACACGGCCCAGACUCCUACGGGAGGCAGCAGUGGGGAAUUUUGGACAAUGGGGGCAACCCUGAUCCAGCCAUGCCGCGUGAGUGAAGAAGGCCUUCGGGUUGUAAAGCUCUUUCGGCGGGGAAGAAAUGGCAACGGCUAAUAUCCGUUGUUGAUGACGGUACCCGCAUAAGAAGCACCGGCUAACUACGUGCCAGCAGCCGCGGUAAUACGUAGGGUGCGAGCGUUAAUCGGAAUUACUGGGCGUAAAGCGUGCGCAGGCGGUUUCGUAAGACAGACGUGAAAUCCCCGGGCUCAACCUGGGAACUGCGUUUGUGACUGCGAGGCUAGAGUACGGCAGAGGGGGGUAGAAUUCCACGUGUAGCAGUGAAAUGCGUAGAGAUGUGGAGGAAUACCGAUGGCGAAGGCAGCCCCCUGNNNUAGUACUGACGCUCAUG